AUAAAAAAAGACAUAACACUAUUGUGUUAACCUGCUUGUGUUACAUUUCAAAUAGGAGUAAUUGAUCUUCAUAGUGAUCUAUGUUAGUAUGCAGCUAAGGCUGCACCUGGAAUUCUAGUUUCUGUUCAAAGGACUACAUGAUACAUUUAAUGUUUAAGAAACUGAGCAAUGUUUUGAGCUGAGAGACCUGGGACUGUUUAUCCUGGAGAAGACUGAGAGGGGAUCUUAUCAAUGCUUAUAAAUAUCUAACAGGUACAAGCAAAGUAAGGUGUAUCAGCUGAAGAUAGAGCAGCAUGACAAAAUUUCUACGCAGGCUAUGGCCAGACUUGAAGAACUAGGGAAAAGCUAUCAGGGGGCAUAGCCUGGUAAGUUGUGGAAAAUGGGAUGUGAAGACGGAUUUUCUGGAUCCUGAUGCCUGCCUAGAAUCACUGCUGCUACCUCUAGGGCACAAUUCCAGGUACUGCCAUGAGAUAAAGUAAUUGAGAGCUGACUGAACUCUUGCUAUACCCACUCAGAACGCCCAGCUUUGCUCAGAUUAUUUUUCAACAAGCUGUACUCUAAUGGGUUUUUGUUUGGCUGAUUUGCAGAAGGGAAAAUAUAAAAAGACACGCUUAAAUUUAGUAAUACUAAUGUCAAUUGUGUGGUUACUAGAGAAAGCUCUCUCACAGAAAAUGUUCUUGUUUUAUGAAUCAUUUAGUACAUCAGAGGUAACACAAUAAAAAUAGAUUGCUGCCAUGUGAUCAGUGUCUCCAGCUUUGAAAAUUGAAUAGGUUUAAAAAUGUUAUUUUUUGAAGAUUGCAUUCUGCCAGCAGCAGGAUCUCUUAUGCUGUGAUACAUCUGUAACUCCCCUUGUUAAUUUCCCUGCAGAAUCCUGUAGCCUCGCUGACAUCUGUAAGCAGGUAUCAAGUGUGCCAGUGCAGUCUCUUCACAUGGUAGCGUAACUCAGAUAUACUGAGUUUUUGCAAGUUUUUAGAUGCUUUCACUCUUUGUCUUCCCAUGGUAAAGUGAUAUUUUUUACUUUUUAAAAUAUUUUCAUUGUCAGCUCUUGUAUACCUGUCUGUGCUUUCUUACUGUUGUCAGAAAAGGAACGUGUAAAACUCGGUGUCCCAGCAAAUGAAAAAACCCUAACAGCAUUUCCCUGCAUAGGAGAAAGAAAUUGGGAAGAUUUGCUAAAAGUGCGGGAGAACACUGAGAAAAUCUGAAGUUGAGGGAAAGAAGGAAAUGCAGUAGCAGCUCUGCAAAAAUGGACUGAAGAGUGCUAGAGUGCUCCAGCUUGUCUGCGAAAGGUUUUUCGCAGUAAACUUUGAUGAACCAACUCUGCCUGACUUGUCUUGAUUUGAUUCUGUUAUGAAAAUUGUUUGUGAAGAUUUUCAUGUGGCUCAAUGUAUAGGAGUCUAGGCUCUUGUAGUGGAAAAAUCUGAGUUCCCUUUUGCUGGGGAGUAUUAGAGCUUGCAUUCAUAGUGCAGGCAUGUUCUAGUAAGUGCACUGUCCCGCUCUGUAGCUUCAGAGAGCUGAAAAGAUGAGGAAGUAUGGGAACUGAGUUUUGGCAGCAUGGUUUUACUUGCAUUUUAAUUCAUGUUUUCUUGAUUGUUUCACAUCCCUGAUUUAGUUCUCCUUUUAGAUUUUUGCAAUGGGAUUAUGGUUUCUGGAUGGAUUCCCUGUGUCCUUUUGACAAGAGCUCCUGUUGCUUGCUUUUCAAAGAAAGAAUAGAAACUCGCUUCUAUGUGUUCUCAGAAUUGCUGGAGGUGGUACUACUUUGACCCCAAUUAAAUUGCUCAUCCCAAAUCAAUUUGCCACCACACAGACAAUAUUAGAUUACUAGAAUCUGAACCUACAGACUCAAGCCUCUCAGCAUUGGCUAAACAGUUGCCUUAUAAUGUAGAGAUUACGCUAAAACAAAAGGAACCAUAUUACUGUAAUUUCUUUCCAUCUUUCUUUUUUGCUUUCACUAGGUUAUUACAUUUAUAACAUCAUGUUUGCACUGCUGCAGUAAGAAGUGAAUUGAGAGUGAGAUCUACUUUCUAUCCUUACAGAAAAAUGUUAUGGGUAUAGACAAGGGAACUGUUCUCCAAACACCGUUAAAAAGUUUUUACUUAAGGUCUAUAUAUACUCAGGGUAAUUUAAGAGCUGGCUUUGCUUCGCACAUAAACUGGUUUGGACUUUGGAACAAUACCUGUCUUUUUGUUUUCACUUUUUUCCUUUUUGAGCCAUUUUAUCCCUAAAGCUUAAAAAUUUCCUGAAGCUGGUUACAAAAAAUCUGAAAUAAUGAAAUAUGAUUUACAUAUUUGGUGGGUGAAGAGGAAAUAGGAGACAUCAUAGAGAUCUUAUGGUUUAUUUAUGACUACAGGUAAAUAACUGCAUGUUUCUAUAAUGGUUUUACUCUGUUUUUACUCUGAAAUGUGCCAUCCAUGCACAUUAAAUGCCUUUUGUUUCAGAUCCGUGUGUCGUCUUUGAGCAGUGAAAAUGCUUAAUGCAGUACUGUAGUUGUCAUCUCCCUGCUGUGGUCUCCAAGACAAUUCAGCUGAGCUUUUGUUUCAUUCUCUUUUCAAAAGCAAAUUAGUAAGGAUUGUUUGUAGUAUAUUGUGCUUUAGAAUAUCAGGAGAAAAUUGCUAAGGAUGUUGCUUGGGAACCCAGAUUCUGGAACGGACCACAGCAGAAUUUGCUGCAUAUGUUAGUAUUAGCCUGGAGUGCAAGAAACUGGCUGACAUGGUGCUGACUACAACUUCAGCUUGUAUAAGCAGCAACAGGUUGUGUUUAGUCUAUCAACUGUCAUGAUUAAAAGCUAGGAUAGGGACUUUCCAUGCUGAGAUGACACAUGUCCAUGGAGAUUUCCAGCACUCUUCUCAAAGGAGAUGUAACUUUUCUGAGCCUUUAAGUCAAAGCCCUUUGUUUGCUUUUAUGUGUGUUUUGCGUUACAGCCUGCACAGACCAGUCCUUGGAUCUCCUUACUGUAGAUGCCGUAUGUUUUUUGGGUAGACAUUAUCAGUCAAUGGAAAGAGAGAAAGCUGCUGAAUGGGCUGGGUUGGUGAUAGAUUUUCUUCUCUGUGAUAUGAAAAAUCGCUUCUGUAGGCAUACACUUCCACAAGAUGUUUAGAGAUAAAUAGUAAAUCACAAAUUUGGGAAUACAAAUUGUCACAGCGUGUAACCUGAAGAAAGGGUUUAAAGUGUUUCUUAUCAAAGGAGGCAGAUUUCCACUGGAUUAUGCUUACAAGAGAUGAGUGGACUGCAGAAAUGCUUUUUAAUACAGUUCCUUGAAGGAAGUGAUUUAUGGAUGUACCUGCAGAGAUGACAGUAAAACAGAAAGAAAUAGACAGGAUGAGAAAGCAGACCAUUUCAGAAGUGUUUGGUACUCAUACAGAGGCCAGUACAGCCGGUAACAAAAAGAAAAUGGGGCAGCUAUGAAAAGGGUAGGAAACAAAGAGGAAGGGAGUUGGAUUAAAAAAGUCUAGCAAAGGAAAGCAGAGAUGUGUUCUCAGGAGGGGCAUGGCAGGACAUUAACAGUGAUGGGGUGGAGGGCUGGAAAACACAGUGCAGCCCUAUUGUGUUUGGUGUCUGGGAAUCAUCUGUAUUGUCUGUUCUUAAUUUUUGGUGAGUUGCUUUUAGAAAGGACUUCAUAAUUGUCUCAGAGCAUUUUGCACAGCUAGAGUAUUUUCAACCUCUGCCUAUCCCUCUAGUCCCAUCUCUUUUUUUUUUUUUUUCCCCAUGAAUCAGCCUUCUGUGAUGAUCUUUGAGUUUGCACGACAGUCCUAGCCUCUAAGUAGUGAUAAAUGCCCCCAGGCCAUGGAAUAUAAAGUAAUGAGUCCUCACCUGGGUCUUAAACUGAAUUCUUAAACACCAAGUGAAAGUAAAGCAUCCCAAGUUCUGAACUGCCAAUUGCUGCUAGCACUGCUUCUACAUACUGCUGGAAAGGAUCUAGCCAGUGGACAUGCCUUGUUUCAAGCUUGUCUGAUUUGCUUUACAGAUGCUUGGAAGAAAUAAUGACUUAGAAUAAUAAACCAAAAAAUAAAGUGGUAAAUACUGAAUGUGUGUCAGCAGUGUUCACUGACAACCAAAAAGACCAACCAUACCUGGUGUGCCCCAGGCCUAGCACUGCCAGCCAGGAGUGGGAAGGAAUUGUCUGACACCGGUCUGCACUGUGCAGUCUCACCUCAAGCAGUGGGUGCAGUUUGGGUGCCACAAUCUAAGAGGAACAUAAAACAUGAGUAUCCAAAGGAGAUCUACCAGGAUGUUAAAGGGUUAGGAGGACAAGGUGCAUGAGGAGCAGCUAAAGUCUCUUAGUUGUUUGGCCCAGAGCAGAGGAGCUAGUGGAGGCUCAUGGAAUCUGCAGCUCCUCAUGGGAGUGGAGGGCAGCGCUGAGCUCUGCUCUCUGUGACAGCAACAGGACCCUUGGGCAAGGCAUGGAGAUGUGUCAGGGGAGGGGCAGCUGGAGGUUACAGAAAGGUUCUGCAUCAGAGGGUGGUGGGCAUGGAACAGGCUUCCUAGAGCAGUGGUCAUGGCCUCGAGCUGCCAGAGUUCAAUAAGUCUUUUAACAGCACUAUUAGACAUAGGUUUUGAAUCUUGAGUGGUCUUAUGAGGAGCCAGGAGUUGGAAUUGACGAUUCUUGUGGGUCCCUUCCAACUCAGGAUAUUCUAUUCUUUUGAUACUUACAGAUCAGCAACAUGGACAUUCUAUUGGCAAUACCUAUUCAGCUGCCAGGUUAUCUAGUGUUGGUGAGCUUUACUGCAGAUGUUUGAGUAGAUUUGAGCGGGCUGCAGGAUGUGAGGGGCCAGGCUGAAGCUGUAGGCAAAGGGUAGGAUGAUUUAGGCUAUUCUGUAUUGCAUUGUAAAAGCUUCGCAUGACUUACUGCUUUGCUUUGAAUGACUGUUUCUUUCCCAUUAUAUGUGACACUUACUGCGGAGGAGGAGAGAGUUUUUUAGCCUACGCUGACACAGAGAAAUGAAAUGGAUAUUUGCUCUCAGCUAUCUAAUCUGAAUAGCAUUUCAAAUGCGACUGGGACAAUUUAAGUGAAAAGAAAGCAAAGGAGUCCAUAAAAGAAAUAUUAUUUCACAGACUUACAUCAAAGAAAACUGUCUCUCAUUCUUUGCAAUUUUUGAGGAUGAUGCUCCAUGAGGAAUUCUAGAAGGAAGAUAGAUGUAGUGUGGGCACCUUUCAAUAACAGUGAUUUCAGUAAUUCUCAAAUGUUUAAGCAGCACUGAGUACCCGAAGGUCUGAUGACCCAGUAGGUCAGUCUUAAGGAUCAAAUCUGAAGUUUGAUCCUGCUCUAAGGUAUGAUUAACUUUUGCUGUCUUUGAGAUGGAUAAUGGUACUUCAGAAUCCAUUGGCAUUGGUUUAACUUCAGGUGAACAGAAAGGCUGAGUCACAAUUGUAAGUUGUCUUCAUUUAUCUUCACUUUUAUUGUUUGUGUUUUAUCUAAUCUGUUUCAAUUGCAAAUGUUUCUCAUGAUCAAAGAGGUACCAACCAUUAAAUAUUCUUAUUGUACUGGAUUAAAACUGGCAAAUACUAGAAAUGGGCCAGUUUGUCCUCAUUUGGCUUUGACAUGCUAUAUUUUAAAAGAAAGCACUGUACCCAAUGGCUGCAUAAAAAACACACAAUCUCAAGUACACUUUCAGUAAAAAUUUCACCUGUUCAAAUAUGUUCUUAUUUUGGACCACGAAUAUAAUUCAUUUUCUUUACGGUUUCACUAAACAAAAAAAAAAGAAAAACACUUGUUCAUAGAGAAUGGUAUAACAUAUACUGCUAAAAAUCAAGAACCCUAAUUGCUUAGUAUAAGAUUCUCUUUUAAGGUUACUGUUGAGGUCGUGUUAUUUCAACUUGGUUUCUAGAGAAACCAGUCUACAUGCUGAUAAUCAAAACAACAUCCAAAAAAAAAAAAAAAAGCCCACAAAAGUUACAACAGAAGAACCAACCCAACAGUAUCUCUUCUUAGUUGUCUUAUCAAGAGAGCAGUUUCAAAAUAAUAUUUUAUUAUAGCUGAAUUAAAAAUACAUAAGGUCAUUUUGUCCACGUUUUGCCAUACAAAAAUUGAACAUAAACUUUAAAAAAAGUAUAUAUUUCCAUAUAUUUCCACAGUCUUAUUCCUUUACACAAUUAUUUUCUGUAGCUAAUCUUUUUAUACUGGGGAACGAAUUCAUUAGCUGGAAAACAAUUCAUAAAGGAUCAAACAUUUUGUUUGUGUACCAGAUAUAACCUGGAUCUGUUCAUCUAUGAAAUUUUCCUGUACUUAAUUGCUUAUAUAAAAUGAUUCAAGAAGCAAAUUGAUAUUCACAAGUUAAUAUGUGCAUUAAUUUUUUUCCUUUGUACAGGCAUCUAAAAAUUAGAUUUAUGGUAGUAUUGAGUAAUACUGAAAUGUGUUUUAUUUUGUCUUGGAAUCAAGAUUGCAACAUACUUUAAAGUGCAUUUCCAUUGUAUACUCAUUUCAAACAAUUGUCAUCCUGAUGAUGAGUUGUUUUGUGGGAGGAGGGUUCUACCUCAGAUAUUGAUUUGGUCAAUGAACAAAAGACAAAGUCAUUUUUAAGGGCGUUCAUUGGUAUUUUUCCCAAGGUUAAUGCUUGAGAAAUAACAUGAACAUCUGUAGGUAGGAGAUCUUAACUGGGCAUUGGUUUUGGUUUGUUUUUGUUUUUCCAUUUUUAAAAGAAAAAAUUUGGAGAGAAGUUUAAAAAAAAUAGAAGUUUUCUCCUUAAAAUUUGGAUUAUUUUUAUACUGUCAAAAUAAACUUCUCAUUAGAAGAUGAAAAUAUCAUUUUCUUCAAACAGCUGUGUUUGGAUUUAAGGUUGAAAUUUCAGUUCUAUCAAGGAGGAGUUUUUUUGUGAGGAGAAAAUAUUGCAACUGACUAUAAUAUAUAAUAUAUGCAGGAUAUAUAGGUACACAUGCAGGAAUACAGAGCCAGCAUCUCCACCGGAGUAAGACAUAUGAGUGUCUCUGAAGUCACUGCUUGCCUAACUAACAUCAGAUGUGAAUCUCACCUAAGAAUUUUUUGUUCAACUGAUAUUCACCACUUUGUGGUUGCAAGAGCACAUUCCUGAACUACACAAUUCUGAUACAAAAGGCAUAAGUAUAGCAGAAUAGGGAAGUUUACAGCUGACCACCUGCGCACCAGAAUGUGUCAGUGACAAGAAAUGGAGGUAUGUUUGCAAUGUUACUCAAUAACGCGUCCUUUAAAAACUGCUGAAGGAAAAGUCAAGCUUGUCUUUGAGAAAGCUGCUAAAAUUAUUUUCAGGUCUUCAGAAACAUUUUAUUUUUCGGUGUAUUUCUCAAGACUACUUAAGACUAAGACCACAUAAAAUGCUAAUAAAUUGUUCAAGUCUCAAGUGUUCUUUCAGAGUAGAGCCUUCAACAUACCAGUCACUGGACAAUGUGAUGCUUUUCUCUGAGAGAGCAGUUCCAAAUCUGUGUUUUCUAGGUGGUACUCAUUUUAUUUCUAAAGCUGUUAACAAAUACAUAUACAAAAGAUGCUUCUACAGCGCAGUAAUAUUAAAUGCAUUAUUUUAAGGCAAGCACACCAAAUUCAACUAUGCUGACAACUCUGAACUUUGAGGUUAGUAAUGAGGUUCCUCACUGAUGUUUAUUGGUACCCGAAUUUGUAAAGCUGUACCUAAACGUGUUUUAAUAUGUAACUGCACAGUUCUACAUAGCAGCUUUUCAGAAUUAUACAGUACAAGGCUAUUUAGCAGUACUACACAAGAAAUGUAGUGAACAGCAUUUCAGAACCUAACUUGAUUCACUUUAAUUUGUAGUUACACUGGAGAAUAUACCCUUUUGCCAAGUGCAACUUGCACUUCUAUUUUUCACUUUCUUUGACAUCUUUUGGGCAGUUGCUUUUAAUACUUCCAUGAAGUGUAUCCUUGGUUAGGGACUGUGUAAUUUAAAGAUGAUGGAGAGUCUUAUUUGACAGGGAGCAGCUACUUUUGUUUUCCAUGCUUUCUCCAGACUGUUUCAAGUGAUGGUAUUUUAUAAUUUGUCUUAAGAGCUUUCACUGUGAUAUAUAUAAAUGUUUAAUUAAGUGGAAAAAAAAACAAUGCUAAUGAAUAUGUAAUUUCAGGUGGAUGGAGUUGAACUGAGUGUAUAUAAAAUUUGGAUAGCUCUCUCACUAAACUACCUCAAAAUACAUUUAUCAAUGCCAGUACUUUUGUGUUGAUCUUCAAAAAGCACAACGCUUCUAUUAAAGGUUUGAUUCCAGAGAAGAAAGUAACUGUGGUUAGGGAGAUCUUUGCUACAACGUUCAGAGCUGCAUGUACUUCUGCUAAACAUUGCUCUGAAUGAUAUAAGAUGUAAUUAUGGGAAUGAUGGACCUCAGUGUUAAGCCCAUUAAUUUGUUCUGCUUUUGUGCUGAGAGGCAAACUCAAGAUCAAGCUGGAGUCUGGUUGAGGACUUCUGAAUCCUUUUUUGUCAUUUUGUUCUCUCAAAUUUGACAACAUCACUCUCUCUCCUUGCAAGGUGCCCAAGGUAGGUAGCCAUCUUUCCUGUCUGAAUGGUGAUGGGCUUUCUCCGGGCAGGCGAGAAUGUUGUUCCAUAGGACCGUCCAGUCAAGGAGGAAACAUGAAGGGACUUCCCACCAUUCUCUGCUAAGACAAAGCUUAGCAAGUAACUACAACAGAAUUCAAGUUGGAUCAAUUUAAGAAUUCAGCAGAGAGGCUUCUACCAUACCUAGCAGAUCGGAACUUGAGCUCAUGGUAACACUGCACAAAGCUAUGAUAAAUGAAAGUGAUUGGCAAGGCUAGUAAAACGAUGCCACUAACCACGCAGAUUCCUCCAAGAAUCCUUCCUGGUACUGUGAUGGGACACAUGUCACCGUAACCAACUGUGGUCAUAGAGAUGAUCACCCACCAACAAGCAGCAGGGAUGCUGGCAUAAUCCUUAUUCUUAGUUCCCAAGUCCAGCCCAUUUUCAAGCAGCUGGGAAAGUGCACUGAAAAUUGCCAUAGCAACACAGAUAAAGACAAGGAGCAUCACCAUCUCUCUGUAACAACGCUUCAGAGUCAGACCAAGUGUUUGAAGGCCAAUGAAAUGACGAGCCAGUUUAAUCACCCAAAAAAUCCUCAUCAUUCUUAAGACCCUCAAGGUGACUCCAGCCCUCUGGAGCUGAGAAUUUUCCCCUGUAAAAACUGUCAUUAGAACAGAGAUGUAGUAAGGAGUAAUUGCCAGUAAAUCAAUAAUGUUGAGAGGUCUUCUGACAAACUCACACUUGUUCUUUGAAACGAUGAACCUCACAAUGCACUCUGCAGUGAACCAGCCUAUGCAGAUAGCUUCAAUUAUCCUGUCAAAAAAAAGAAAGCACAGCAUUUAUGUUCUGUGAAAGGGCUUUGGUGGAGGUUUGAUGUUUUUUUUUCACAGACAUUACCAAAUUGACAUUCAGACCUUCACAAAUGACAAACAGAAAGCCACACUGUUUUUAUUCUGAGCAUGAAGCACUGGAUUUCAGCAAAUAACCUUAGGAUCUAAUGAGGAGUUUAAACUGAUCUGUGCUAAGACCUCAUUGACUGAUCAUUUUCUGUGGAUUAUAUAUGCCUAUCCUAAUACUGGAGAAAUAUGCCUACAAAAUCUGGGACCCUAGACAAAAUGGUGUGCCACCAAUGCCAGUGUGUAACAUAAUCUAAAAUACUUCGUGGUUUUGUUUUAAAGCUGCGAGGCUUGAUCCAUUUAGGAAUGCCAAGGACUGUGGAUCAGUGAACUGGUGAUGUGUUCAUCCAGAUUGCUAAACUAGAAUGAAAAUGAAGAUGGAGUAGGUGGAAAUCAGCUAUUGCAUCAGAUAAUUCAUGCAAAUUGGCUCUUUAAGAACCAGCUGAAACCAGUCUUAUUUGCAUCCCAAACAGGGGCUUACCUAGAACUAUAUUCAAGAUUUCAUAGUAUUGCCACUGAAUACAGAUAGUAUUUUAUUCUUCGCCAUAGGAUAAACACAGUACCAAAGUAAUAAUCUAGUAUGCCUUUAUGCUGAACAUCACUGAAUUUUAUAUUUUCUUUUAAAUGUAACUCCCUCUAAACUGUGCCAUAACAAAAUGUCAGGGAGCAAAAUGAUAGGCAGGAUUGUCUUCUCAAAUACAAACAGCUGCCUUGAUAAAAGAAAGCACUGCUCUUCUGGACGGUGAUUUCAGCACUCUCUUGAGUGUUUUAAAGUCCUGCAUGAGCAUGUGAGACUUGAGAGCAUUUUCAAAUUGAAACUUCUACGUAAGGUAGAAACAGAAAAUAAAUUUUCUCUGCAAUUAUUUGAUAACGGUAGUGCACAUUCUGUUGAAUAUCACAUCUCAAAAUAACCCUUUUCUUUAGGAAAAACUGUUCAAACUGUUGUCACUUGCUUAAUAUUGGAUGGAAUGGCAAUUAGUAUUUCCCUCUUUCCUUUGUUUGCUUUCACUAACUUUUUGUGUAAGGAAAAAGCCACUCACCAGUACCAUCUCUACCAACAGGUCUGACACCUAAGUGACCUUAGAGUGGAGACCUGAAAAUACUAGAUGCAACUUUUUUCUACUGCAGGUUUUCUAAUAAGAUGGAUUUCAAUCCUAAUGAAUCACCUAAGUGAGUAAGUGAUUUGGUGAGCACAACUAGAAACCUCUGACCUGUUGUGAGACCUAGAGUGCUACAUACAAUGUUUCCACUCUCAGAUCAUCUCCCUCUUCCUGACAGUGACUUAUCUUUAUAACUAAGCUAUCCUUGUUAAUGGAGAAGUAAUACCUAGUAAGAAAAUUAAAAUCCUUAAAAGAAUUUAUAUCAAGCUAAGGCCAACUGAAAUUCACUAAGAAGACUAAUGUUACCAAACUGUAAUCAUUUCUUAAAAUAUUGCUGCAUGUUCACAUGACAGACUGCCUGUUCCUGAAAUAAUAAGCUGCUUCAGCAUCUGUAUCUAACUAAGUGUAUAAUUAAAUCAUGAGCUUUAUUUGGUAAAAUGUAAUACCUGUUCUUGUUUAGUGUAUAUUUGUUUUAUCCAUUCAGUUUUAAAAUAGCUGAGAUCCAAAAAGGAGACAGGAAAUGAAAAACAAGCUCAUGAAGUAUUUAUUUGAUAACACCCCACAAAAUCUGAAUAACCAAAGAGAAUAUGAAGUUCUAAUUUUUAAUUAUAGGUUAUUUCUGCACAAAUUUACUGUUCAUUGGCCCAGACCUAAGUCACAUAAAAGAGAAUGAGAUUUUGUUGUUGUUGUUGUUUUUCAAGAAAUUGCCUCUUGGUACUUAAUGAGUCUUUUGGCCAUAAACUGGCAGUGAAGCUUUUCUGAGCCUCACUUCCUCUGUAAUCCAGUCUGUGUUUAAUUUUCUGUUCCGUCUGAUAAUUUCCUUUUGGAAUAGGCAGUUUUAUGUACACUAAAUAAAAGUGCUUGCAAAAUAUUUUUCAAUCACUAACAAGAUUCGUUUUGUUAUAUGAUUUAAUUUUUUUUUACUAUAAUAACAUCAUAAAGUGUUUAAGCUUGCUGUUAUGCCUUGGCCCAAUGUGCCAGUUUGUAUACUUUUAAUAUCCCCUUGUGAUUCAGUUGAAAUCUCCCCAAAAUAUUAAUUUGUGGCACUGUUACUGAUUGAGCUUGUAAGUAGAACAUAAACAUCAACAAGACACGAGGAAAACGUGAAACAGUUAAAGACAGUCUAUGGCAGGAUUCAAGGCUGUCAGCACUGAUGUGUUAAAUUGUUGCUAAAUCCUAUUUCCGUGUCUCCUGAAGAACGUCCAAGAAGUAGCCAGAAAGAUCAAACUCCUGCUCAGGAAGACUUAUCAUCAUUUCAGCAAAAAGCCUUUUUUAAUCCUUUUGAAAUCAACAGGAUUUCUGCCUGCCUACAAAGUGCAGAGCAAGGACCAUAGAACAGCCAGUUUUGCAGGCAUUUUCCCCUUCUGUCCCUGCUCUGGUAGCAGUAACUCUUAAUGCAUUAAAUGUUGGUUAGUGCCUGCCUCUUGGGGAGGUGCAAUGACCAGCAGUGCCUGGAGAAGAGGAAAAUGCACUUCCCAGCUUCCAAGCAACAUCUGGAUAGGAGCAUUCCAGCCCUGAGAUUCCUCAGCAUUUUUGUCACAUUCUUGGAACAUGGGAUUAGCACCCAGCCUUGGUGAGAUUGUUCAGGUUCCACUGUGGCCAGGGAGUGAUGCAUGUCCAUUCAUUGUAUUAUCUCAACUUUUCAAAAAUCUCUUACAAGAAGAAUCCACAUCUGGGUUUUUAAACUAAAUCUGGAGUUCUGUUUAUUACCUUCAGCCUGCUUUUAGAAUUUAGGGAAAAAAGGUGUUUAGAUUUUCUCCAAGAAAGAAUUUAUUAUUUUUAUGAACAGUUGUUGAGCAGGAACAUUUGGGUGUUCUGAAAUAAUAAUGAUUUUUGUGCCUCUAAAAUUCAAAUGUAACUUUUUAAGCUGAUGUUUUGCAGACAGAAAAAAAAGCUGACUGGCAUCUGUUGAGAAAUGUUGUUUAAAUUCUUUUGCCUAACAACACAGCAAUCAUAUACGAGUGACAACUGAGAGAUUAUUUCAAUGUCAAUUUAAUCAUAAGUGGAAAAGAGGCAACAGUCUCUUUUUAUGCUACCUAGCUACUCAUAUUAGUCUUAGAAAAAUAGUAGGUAGAACUGCACUGGCUCUGAGUCAAGCAGCUUCAAAUUACAUCCUGUCACAGGUUUAAACUCUCUUCAGAAGAUGAUGCUUCUGGUCAGUUUAUGGAUGGAUCUGUGAUCAGAGACUCUCAGAAUGCAACUGUUGGCAUAGUUCAGAAGAGAGCAAAGAUGACUUGAAAUUGCCAGAAGCAACAGAAGGGAGACAUGUGUCCCUCCUGUCUGCUCCUAAACUGUGCAGAUCUGAUGCAAAUCUUUAGUUCUGGUAAGUGAAACUUGCCAAGUUAGGCAAGAGAGAGAAAUCAUAGAAUGUGAGAAAAUUUUAAUAGCUCAUCCCUCAUCCUAAAUGUAGACCUGAGGAAGGCAAUCCCUCUUCAAAUGAGGGAAUUACGUUGUCUCUGAGAUCUGUGAAAUUCAGAGAUAAGAUUCUUCAUCCCCUCUCUUUUAAAAGCCUUGGAGUUCCCUGUUGCUGCCCUUUAAAGGGUGUUAUUGUGAGGACCAAAAACGGAUGUAUGUUGUUCACCUUUUGACAGUCCUAUCGUAGUGAAAAGUCAUAACAACAUGAGGGUCUCCAAGAAGGAUAUGGGAAAAAUUUGGUGGACUCAAUUCCUCUUCUGGUGAAGAGGUGUUUGUAUAAUAGGGAGAAAAAAAAAAAAAAAAAAAGAUAAAAACACAGCUGGUAUUAAUUGGCAGCAGUAGUAACCCUUACUGCAAACAUCAUUAAAGAGGCUAAUUUUGUACAUUAUGGAAUUAGUCACUACCUUGCCCUUAGAAACAACGUCCAGGUAUGGGGGAGACACCCUGGCUGAGCUGUUUCCACUACAGCUGCCCUAAGCAGUUCUGUGGGUGGUUACCUCACUUUAGCCACAGAAAUGACUUGUGUGGCACCUUUCCAACCAUAAGUAACAUAACACUGAGAAAAGGACAGUUGUUUGUUUUUAUUGGUAAACCUAUGAAAGACUGAAAGUGUCAGCAAGAUUUUAGGGUCACUGAAUUUCCUGAGGUAAUGCUCAUCUGCUCUAAGUACUGAUGGAUACUGAUUUGACUAUCUAUCCAAAAUCUCCCUUCUGUUGAAUUCUAGAUAAGCUCAUUCAAUUUUUAUUUCUAAAAGUUUUUGAAAUGUGUUUUAAGGAUGUCAAGUCUUUGUACUGGUAACUACAGUGCUAUAUGUCAAAACCCAUCUCCAUAUUGCAAUGAUGUCACAAUUUCUCUUGGCAAUAAACAUUUUUGCAUAUUA